rnacentral:rRNA from 1 species
AUUGAACGCUGGCGGCAGGCCUAACACAUGCAAGUCGAACGAGUGGCGGACGGGUGAGUAAUGUCUGGGAAACUGCCCGAUGGAGGGGGAUAACUACUGGAAACGGUAGCUAAUACCGCAUACCAUCGGAUGUGCCCAGAUGGGCUUGGCUAGUAGGUGGGGUAACGGUUCACCGAGGCGACGAUCCCUAGCUGGUCUGAGCGGAUGACCAGACACACUGGAACGGAGACACGGUCCAGACGCCUACGUGAGGCAGCAGUGGGGAAUAUUGCACAAUGGGCGCAAGCCUGAUGCAGCCAUGCCGCGUGGAUGAAGAAGGCCUUCGGGUUGUAAAGUACUUUCAGCGAGGAGGCGUUACUCGCAGAAGAAGCACCGGCUAACUCCGUGCCAGCAGCCGCGGUAAUAC